rnacentral:lncRNA from 1 species
CUCGACAGACAUUGGAUAAAUCAAGACCGCAUUCUCCUGAUCAGUGAUGCUAGUCACCAACUGGGCCCCCUGAAAGAGAGAGUCCUUAUCCAAAGGCACCAUCCAAUGAUCCCUGAACAAAUAGAAGAUUUGCUCCAUAAUCCCCUCACUGUCAUCCACAACUCUACCGUUGCUCUCCUAUAGCUGCCUAAUCCAGUUGGUAAAUUGCCAAAUCAUAGUAGAUUGUUGAAAAAAUCUAGUAUUCCGAUCUCUCUCUCUAAUCCACUGAAUUCUAGACUUUUGCCUUCAUAAUGUCUCCUACUAUCUCAGUAAGGAGUGGUGCACCGAGAGCUUGCAAUGGAGCUCUCUCAAGUCAAACUUUUGGAGACCCCCCUCCUGUCCCCUCUAAGUUGCAACUCUAU